CCUACGGGGGGCAGCAGUGAGGAAUAUUGGUCAAUGGACGAGAGUCUGAACCAGCCAAGUAGCGUGAAGGAUGACUGCCCUAUGGGUUGUAAACUUCUUUUAUAGGGGAAUAAAAUGUGCCACGUGUGGGAUUGUGUAUGUACCAUAUGAAUAAGGAUAGGCUAACUCCGUGCCAGCAGCCGCGGUAAUACGGAGGAUCCGAGCGUUAUCCGGAUUUAUUGGGGGUAAAGGGAGCGUAGGUGGAUUGUUAAGGCAGUUGUGACAGUUUGCGGCUCAACCGUAAAAUUGCCGUUGAAACUGGCAGUCUUGAGUACAGUCGAGGUGGGCGGCAUUCGUGGUGUCGCGGU
rnacentral:rRNA from 1 species